rnacentral:miRNA from 1 species
GCUUGACCAAAAAGUUUGUUUGGGUUUUUUGAUAAUAGCUUAUGAAAAACCCAAACAAACUUUUUGACCAACCCAAU